GCUUAGGCCCCUCCUAUCUGGGACCCCUGGGUCCGCCCCUGAUAAAUUGCGCAUCUUUUAGCUGCCUGCUUCACAUAUCAUGUGCGUGAUAUGCGUGGCAUUUUGUGACAUUGCAUGACAUGCGUGACAGCUUACUUUUCCUAUUUCGUCCUUAGGUCCAGAGUCUAGCGAGGAGUGAAGGUCCAGCCAAGGUCGAGGACACGACGACACGACAGUGCAUGAAGUAAAAAAAUAAGUUUCAAGGAAUAAAAAGUGUACUGGAUACUCAAUAAUAAAUCGUUGACAAAA